ACGGAAGGCAGCAGUGGGGGAUAUUGCACAAUGGGGGAAACCCUGAUGCAGCGACGCCGCGUGAGUGAAGAAGUAUUUCGGUAUGUAAAGCUCUAUCAGCAGGGAAGAAAAUGACGGUACCUGACUAAGAAGCUCCGGCUAAAUACGUGCCAGCAGCCGCGGUAAUACGUAUGGAGCAAGCGUUAUCCGGAUUUACUGGGUGUAAAGGGAGCGUAGACGGCGAGGCAAGUCUGAUGUGAAAGCCAUGGGCCCAACCCAUGAACUGCAUUGGAAACUGUCUUGCUUGAGUGUCGGAGAGGUAAGCGGAAUUCCUAGUGUAGCGGUGAAAUGCGUAGAUAUUAGGAGGAACACCAGUGGCGAAGGCGGCUUACUGGACGAUAACUGACGUUGAGGCUCGAAAGCGUGGGGAGCAAACAGGAUUAGAUACCCUGGUA
rnacentral:rRNA from 1 species